rnacentral:rRNA from 1 species
AUUGAACGCUGGCGGCAUGCCUUACACAUGCAAGUCGAACGGCAGCACGGGUGCUUGCACCUGGUGGCGAGUGGCGAACGGGUGAGUAAUACAUCGGAACGUACCUUAUCGUGGGGGAUAACGCAGCGAAAGCUGUGCUAAUACCGCAUACGCCCUGAGGGGGAAAGCGGGGGAUCGCAAGACCUCGCGCGAUUAGAGCGGCCGAUGCCUGAUUAGCUAGUUGGUGGGGUAAAAGCCCACCAAGGCGACGAUCAGUAGCUGGUCUGAGAGGACGAUCAGCCACACUGGGACUAAGACACGGCCCAGACUCCUACGGGAGGCAGCAGUGGGGAAUUUUGGACAAUGGGGGCAACCCUGAUCCAGCAAUGCCGCGUGAGUGAAGAAGGCCUUCGGGUUGUAAAGCUCUUUUGUCAGGGAAGAAACACCGGCUCUAACACAGUCCGGGAAUGACGGUACCUGAAGAAUAAGCACCGGCUAACUACGUGCCAGCCGCCGCUGUAA